AGCAGCGUGGCUCAGUGGCAAGAGCCCGGGCUUGGGAGUUGGAGGUCAUGGGUUCAAAUCCCUGCUCUGCCA
rnacentral:tRNA from 1 species